GGGUUGUGAGGUUAAGCGACUAAGCGUACACGGUGGAUGCCCUGGCAGUCAGAGGCGAUGAAGGGCGUGCUAAUCUGCGAUAAGCGCCGGUAAGGUGAUAUGAACCGUUAUAACCGGCGAUACCCGAAUGGGGAAACCCAGUGUGAUUCGUCACACUAUCAUUAACUGAAUCCAUAGGUUAAUGAGGCGAACCGGGGGAACUGAAACAUCUAAGUACCCCGAGGAAAAGAAAUCAACCGAGAUUCCCCAGUAGCGGCGAGCGAACGGGGAGGAGCCCAGAGCCUGAAUCAGCAUGUGUGUUAGUGGAAGCGUCUGGAAAGGCGCGCGAUACAGGGUGACAGCCCGUACACAAAAGCGCAUGUGCUGUGAGCUCGAUGAGUAGGGCGGGACACGUGGUAUCCUGUCUGAAUAUGGGGGGACCAUCCUCCAAGGCUAAAUACUCCUGACUGACCGAUAGUGAACCAGUACCGUGAGGGAAAGGCGAAAAGAACCCCGGCGAGGGGAGUGAAAAAGAACCUGAAACCGUGUACGUACAAGCAGUGGGAGCACCCUUUGGGGUGUGACUGCGUACCUUUUGUAUAAUGGGUCAGCGACUUAUAUUCUGUAGCAAGGUUAACCGUAUAGGGGAGCCGUAGGGAAACCGAGUCUUAACCGGGCGUUAAGUUGCAGGGUAUAGACCCGAAACCCGGUGAUCUAGCCAUGGGCAGGUUGAAGGUUGGGUAACACUAACUGGAGGACCGAACCGACUAAUGUUGAAAAUUAGCGGAUGACCUGUGGCUGGGGGUGAAAGGCCAAUCAAACCGGGAGAUAGCUGGUUCUCCCGAAAGCUAUUUAGGUAGCGCCUCGUGAAUUCAUCUCCGGGGUAGAGCACUGUUUCGGCUAGGGGGCCAUCCCGGCUUACCAACCCGAUGCAAACUGCGAAUACCGGAGAAUGUUAUCACGGGAGACACACGGCGGGUGCUAACGUCCGUCGUGAAGAGGGAAACAACCCAGACCGCCAGCUAAGGUCCCAAAGUCAUGGUUAAGUGGGAAACGAUGUGGGAAGGCCCAGACAGCCAGGAUGUUGGCUUAGAAGCAGCCAUCAUUUAAAGAAAGCGUAAUAGCUCACUGGUCGAGUCGGCCUGCGCGGAAGAUGUAACGGGGCUAAACCAUGCACCGAAGCUGCGGCAGCGACACUGUGUGUUGUUGGGUAGGGGAGCGUUCUGUAAGCCUGUGAAGGUGUGUCGUGAGGCAUGCUGGAGGUAUCAGAAGUGCGAAUGCUGACAUAAGUAACGAUAAAGCGGGUGAAAAGCCGCUCGCCGGAAGACCAAGGGUUCCUGUCCAACGUUAAUCGGGGCAGGGUGAGUCGACCCCUAAGGCGAGGCCGAAAGGCGUAGUCGAUGGGAAACAGGUUAAUAUUCCUGUACUUGGUGUUACUGCGAAGGGGGACGGAGAAGGCUAUGUUGGCCGGGCGACGGUUGUCCCGGUUUAAGCGUGUAGGCUGGUUUUCCAGGCAAAUCCGGAAAAUCAAGGCUGAGGCGUGAUGACGAGGCACUACGGUGCUGAAGCAACAAAUGCCCUGCUUCCAGGAAAAGCCUCUAAGCAUCAGGUAACAUCAAAUCGUACCCCAAACCGACACAGGUGGUCAGGUAGAGAAUACCAAGGCGCUUGAGAGAACUCGGGUGAAGGAACUAGGCAAAAUGGUGCCGUAACUUCGGGAGAAGGCACGCUGACACGUAGGUGAAGUGAUUUACUCACGGAGCUGAAGUCAGUCGAAGAUACCAGCUGGCUGCAACUGUUUAUUAAAAACACAGCACUGUGCAAACACGAAAGUGGACGUAUACGGUGUGACGCCUGCCCGGUGCCGGAAGGUUAAUUGAUGGGGUCAGCGCAAGCGAAGCUCCUGAUCGAAGCCCCGGUAAACGGCGGCCGUAACUAUAACGGUCCUAAGGUAGCGAAAUUCCUUGUCGGGUAAGUUCCGACCUGCACGAAUGGCGUAAUGAUGGCCAGGCUGUCUCCACCCGAGACUCAGUGAAAUUGAACUCGCUGUGAAGAUGCAGUGUACCCGCGGCAAGACGGAAAGACCCCGUGAACCUUUACUAUAGCUUGACACUGAACAUUGAGCCUUGAUGUGUAGGAUAGGUGGGAGGCUUUGAAGCGUGGACGCCAGUCUGCGUGGAGCCGACCUUGAAAUACCACCCUUUAAUGUUUGAUGUUCUAACGUGGACCCGUAAUCCGGGUUGCGGACAGUGUCUGGUGGGUAGUUUGACUGGGGCGGUCUCCUCCUAAAGAGUAACGGAGGAGCACGAAGGUUGGCUAAUCCUGGUCGGACAUCAGGAGGUUAGUGCAAUGGCAUAAGCCAGCUUGACUGCGAGCGUGACGGCGCGAGCAGGUGCGAAAGCAGGUCAUAGUGAUCCGGUGGUUCUGAAUGGAAGGGCCAUCGCUCAACGGAUAAAAGGUACUCCGGGGAUAACAGGCUGAUACCGCCCAAGAGUUCAUAUCGACGGCGGUGUUUGGCACCUCGAUGUCGGCUCAUCACAUCCUGGGGCUGAAGUAGGUCCCAAGGGUAUGGCUGUUCGCCAUUUAAAGUGGUACGCGAGCUGGGUUUAGAACGUCGUGAGACAGUUCGGUCCCUAUCUGCCGUGGGCGCUGGAGAACUGAGGGGGCUGCUCCUAGUACGAGAGGACCGGAGUGGACGCAUCACUGGUGUUCGGGUUGUCAUGCCAAUGGCACUGCCCGGUAGCUAAAUGCGGAAGAGAUAAGUGCUGAAAGCAUCUAAGCACGAAACUUGCCCCGAGAUGAGUUCUCCCUGAGACUUAGAGUCUCCUGAAGGAACGUUGAAGACGACGACGUUGAUAGGCCGGGUGUGUAAGCGCAGCGAUGCGUUGAGCUAACCGGUACUAAUGAACCGUGAGGCUUAACCUUACAACGCCGAAGCUGUU
rnacentral:rRNA from 1 species